AGAGUUUGAUUCUGGCUCAGGAUGAACGCUAGCUACAGGCUUAACACAUGCAAGUCGAGGGGCAGCAUGGUCUUAGCUUGCUAAGGCUGAUGGCGACCGGCGCACGGGUGAGUAACGCGUAUCCAACCUUCCCCAUAGUAGGGGAUAGCCCGGCGAAAGUCGGAUUAAUACCCUAUGUUAUUCGAUGCAGACAUCUAAGUUGAAUCAAAGGUUUACCGCUAUGGGGAUGGGGAUGCGUCUGAUUAGGUUGCAGGCGGGGUAACGGCCCACCUGGCCUACGAUCAGUAGGGGUUCUGAGAGGAAGGUCCCCCACAUUGGAACUGAGACACGGUCCAAACUCCUACGGGAGGCAGCAGUGAGGAAUAUUGGUCAAUGGACGAGAGUCUGAACCAGCCAAGUAAGCGUGCAGGACGACGGCCCUAUGGGUUGUAAACUGCUUUUAUGCGGGGAUAAAGUGAGGGACGUGUCCCUUUUUGUAGGUACCGCAUGAAUAAGGACCGGCUAAUUCCGUGCCAGCCGCCGC
rnacentral:rRNA from 1 species